GCAAUGUCUUCGCUGUCAGGUGGUUUAGCCGAGAGCUGAUAAGCGAUUUAAUUGCUUUCAACUAUUGUCAAAAUAUCGAGUGCUCCACGCAGUUCAGUGUUUUGUAGAUAACGGUUGCCACGCCAAUGUUACCUGUGGUUGUCCUCUCCUGCGCACACAGACCACCACGGAGAUAACCACUAUGAGGACCACUAGGCCGCAGGCACCCCCGCCCACAUAGAGCCAUAAACCUGCAACAACGCUUAUAGGACGUAUGUAACAUACAUCUUCAACUGAAGAGUCCUUAUAGAGAAACACCUGCAUCACCAACAUGAGCUUUCCCAACUUCAACGACUUUAUGGCAUGAUUGGAUGGCCGAUGUUAGGUUCUGAGACAGUUCAACAUUGACGAAUGACUGAUGCAAGGUACCCACGAACUCUUCCGGAACACAAGCAGCAAAAUACUUCUCAAUAUACUGAUGCGUAACUUCUUCAGGUCCUCAGUGAGCAUCAGUCAAGGAUAUCUUCUCUUCUCCGUCCUGUUUAAACCUUUUCCUUUAGAAGGAGACCCUUUACGACAACCGCACUUCAAUCUCAAUCGGUAGCAGACCCAUGUCUUACUUUAGAUUUUCUGAGAAUAUUAACCUCAUGGGCGGCACCAGCAGUGAACUCCAUCCAAUACCUCACUAUCAGACUCUCUGAAAGCAAAGUGGCAUACGGGAUAAAGGUCAGCAUGGAGAAGUCGAAGAUCAUAGUGAACACAAACAACACCAGAGUGGAUAUAACCUCGAAAGACAACAAGCUGAAAAAGUUUAUCAGCUUCAGGUACUUAGUAUCAAUCCUGUUCAAGGAUGGUACCAGUACCAAAGAGAUCAUAAUACUUGUUACCAAGACGACCGCAGCGAAGGUCAGACUGGAAAGGUUGUAGCAGCUCAAUUAGCUUCCCCACCAUGUACAGGCUCUGUAAGUCUCUCGCAGACCACAUCCCACUGUUCUGCACAGAGACCUGGAUGUUCAAUGCGGACUGAGAACUCGAUCAGGAUACCGGCCCUUGAACACAAGUGUCUGCGAAUGAUCGUUACUAUGACUUUAUAGUAUACAUGCAAAUCGAAAUAUGAACAUUUUAAUUUUUAUAUACAGUAUAAAUUAUAAUAUGAACGUUUCCAUGUUUAUAUAUAGUAUGACGUGAUUAGUAAAUGUUUCAAUACUGGUAUAUAGUAUACAAUGAAAUAUGAAAGUUUCAAGUUGCCGUGAACGAGUACAUGUAUAUUGUUGAACAAGUAACGCAGUUGAUUAAGUUAUUUACUUAUUGAUUUUUAACUAAGUAUUUUUUUCUAGUGCAUGCACAUAAAUAAUUAAUUCUAAAAACCAAUUGACGAAUAUGAUAAAUCUUGCUUUAUUAUUAAUGUAUUUAAAUGUUAUGGUCAGAAAUAACCUCAAACUGUUUAAAAGAUUGUUUCUUCUUGUGAAAUUACUUCGUAUUCCUGUUGUAUAAACACACCUUCUAACGAAAGUAAUUUAUAUUAAGUUUAACAUUAUUUUACUCGAUAAAGUUAUAUUAUAAAAAAUACCUUUGUUAGAAGAAUUGUAAGCUAUUUGUAAAAUUAAACAGUAUAUACCUUUUUCGGAACUUAGACUAUGUUGUAUGCAUACUUUUCCAAAUUUAAAUAAUAAAUAACUACAUGAGCAUUUACUCAUUUGUAUUAUAUGAACUAAUUUCUGUAAUGUUUUUUGUAUCGGUUAAAUAAGGAGCCUAAUUUUCGGCACGUGAAAGAGAUACUUUAAAGGUAUGUUAAAUUAGCACGCAAAUAAAUAGGGGACUUUAUCAAAUGAGUCGUGUUCUAAGA